rnacentral:rRNA from 1 species
GAUGAACGCUGGCGGCGUGCCUAAUACAUGCAAGUCGAGCGAACAGACGAGGAGCUUGCUCCUCUGACGUUAGCGGCGGACGGGUGAGUAACACGUGGAUAACCUACCUAUAAGACUGGGAUAACUUCGGGAAACCGGAGCUAAUACCGGAUAAUAUAUUGAACCGCAUGGUUCAAUAGUGAAAGACGGUUUUGCUGUCACUUAUAGCUGGAUCCGCGCCGCAUUAGCUAGUUGGUAAGGUAACGGCUUACCAAGGCAACGAUGCGUAGCCGACCUGAGAGGGGGAUCGGCCACACUGGAACUGAGACACGGUCCAGACUCCUACGGGAGGCAGCAGUAGGGAAUCUGCCGCAAUGGGCGAAAGCCUGACGGAGCAACGCCGCGUGAGUGAUGAAGGUCUUCGGAUCGUAAAACUCUGUUAUUAGGGAAGAACAAAUGUGUAAGUAACUAUGCACGUCUUGACGGUACCUAAUCAGAAAGCCACGGCUAACUACGUG